rnacentral:rRNA from 1 species
MCGCGACCCCAGGUCAGGCGGGAUCACCCGCUGAGU